UUUUGGUGGCGGUAAUGCAUCGUUCAGUUGUUUGCCAACCGCCAAUCAAAUUUAAAAGAAGAAGAAGUGGCGUCGAGGUGGAGGGAAGAUUUAAAACUAGACAAAUAGAAACGGUGAAUUCAGCAUGGUACCACGUUACAAUGACGAGAGAAGUGAAGGGUAAAACCCCCCACAGGCCUCCUCCAAAAAACCCCUCCAGCAACCAGACGGACCCUGUUGGGCUUUUGAUGCAGUUUGCAGAGAUGACCCAAGAGGUGGAAGUGACCAGGCCAGUGGACAGACCAAUCUGUGGCGCUACUCCAGGCCGUCAUCAUAGAAACCAGGCAUUCAAAGAUGAGCUGCCUCUCAGAUUGGAGGAACACAGUGGCCCAAUAGAUCCUGACAUGCCUGCUGCUGCAAACCCUCUGAUCCUCAGUCUCCCAUCUCUACCCUCCUGCGAGCUGACUGACCCACACGAUGACAUCACCCUGCCCAGGCUGACUGAAGCCCUGAAGAACAGGCAGAGGAUCAAGCAGAUGCUGAUUGAGGAAUGCAGUAAAACAGCCAACAUGAUCAACUUUAUUCAGGAACAAAACGGCAAACUGUUAGAGAAAGACAAAAUCAUCCAAGGCAACAAAGCAGAGAUUGAACGUUUAGAGAAGAAAUCAAAGAUGCAAGAACACAAGAUUGACAUCCUGCAGAAAACAACUAAAAUCUUUGAAGAUGACAAGCGCUCGCUGCAGCAUGAGCUGGGAACCAGAGAGCAGAGGCUGCAGAGGGAGCUGUCAGAGAAGAGACGCAUGGAGCAGCGCCUGCAUGGCGUGAUCUCGGACACCCAGUUCAAGUGGGAGAAAGAAUGUGAGAGACGUGUUAAUGCACUGCAGCUUGAGAUGCAAAAUAAGCUGUGGGUGAAAGACGAAAAGCUGAAGCAGCUCAAGGCCAUCGUGACAGAGAGCAAGACUCCAGGUCGCCCUGAACCUCCACCCCGUCAGACGCAGCCACAGCCACAGCCACAGCCUCUACCACAGCAUCAGCCCCGUUCUCAGCGACCCUCCAAAGAGGACCGCCUACCACCAAAGAGAUCAGCCUCACCCUCACCUGUCCCUUGCCCAGUCGAUUCCCCUCAUGUCAGUCCAAAGCCAGAGUCACAGUCAGGCAGUGCUGCUAGUGAUGAGGAGGAUGAGAUGAACCCAAGGCCCGUCUGCCCCGUCCCCAGCAGAAGUACCUUUUUGUCUGCGGCUAGAUCUGCACGUGAGGAACAGGCAGCUCAGGACAGCAUGCAGGAUUACAGUUCCCCUAGUACACCCACAAGAACACUCACAAGACCCCAGGCUUCAACGGGCACUUCAGUCAGCCUGGCCAGGAGGAGAGCUGUGUGCUUGAGCAGAGUGGAUGAGAGAGACUGCUUCCCUUCCCCUUCGUUUCAUGUAGACCUAAUUGAAAGAAGUUACAGGACGACAACACCAGUACGCCCGCUGCACCGUCGUUCCCGCUCUGCUGGUGGGGAGAAGUGGGUGGACCACAAGCCAUCGUCAAGCAUGGACUUGGGCACAGUUUUGCAGCCGGUCAUCCCCAACGCCAUCCAGGUGUCGGCACCCAGCGAGAAGGCUCUGUCCAAGUGUGACAGAUACGUGCUAACGCACCAAGAAGUUGCCUCCGACGGCGAGAUACAGACCAAACUUAUAAAGGGCGAGGUCAUCAAAACAAGAGGAGGCGGGCAAGCUGUCCAGUUCACUGACAUUGAGACACUGAAACAGGAGCUCACUACAGUCCCAAGGCGCAGAAAACCCUAAAAGCUGCUGACAGAGCAACAGUGACCACUCCCCUUUAUCCUCACCUGGCUGUUGUGCAAUAAUAAAAAUAAUAUUAAUAAUAAAA